CGGACUGGUGAGUAACGCGUGAGGAACCUGCCUUUCGGAGGGGGACAACAGUUGGAAACGACUGCUAAUACCGCAUGAUACAUUUGGAUCGCAUGGUCUGAAUGUCAAAGAUUUAUCGCCGAAAGAUGGCCUCGCGUCUGAUUAGCUAGUCGGCGGGGUAACGGCCCACCGAGGCGACGAUGCGUAGGGGUUCUGAGAGGAAGGCCCCCCACACUGGUACUGAGACACGGACCAGACUCCUACGGGAGGCAGCAG
rnacentral:rRNA from 1 species